CCUACGGGAGGCUGCAGUCGAGAAUCUUCCACAAUGGACGAAAGUCUGAUGGAGCGACGCCGCGUGGAGGAUGAAGUCCUUCGGGACGUAAACACCUUUUAUGAGGGAGAAAUUUAUUGAUAGUACCUCAUGAAUAAGGGGUUGCUAAACUCGUGCCAGCAGCAGCGGUAAUACGAGUACCCCAAGCGUUAUCCGGAAUUAUUGGGCGUAAAGGGUGUGUAGGUGGUCGCGUUAGUCUCCUGUGAAAUCUCCCGGCUUAACCGGGAAUCGGCGGGGGAAACGGCGCGACUUGGAGCAUGUGAGAGGUCAGUAGAACUCAUGGUGUAGGGGUGAAAUCCGUUGAUAUCAUGGGGAAUACCAAAAGCGAAGGCAGCUGACUGGCACAUAGCUGACACUGAAACACGAAAGCGUGGGUAGCGAACGGGCUUAGAUACCCCUGUAGUC
rnacentral:rRNA from 1 species